ensembl:lncRNA
UCCUGCUGUGGUGUCUCUAGGGCCCUACGUGACUAUAGGCCAUGUCCCCUAACCGCUGAAACUAGGACUUAAGUGACUAUAGGCCAUGUCCCCUAACCUUUCAAACUAGGGCCUUAAGUGACUAUAGGCCAUGUAUGUCCCCUAACUGCUCAAACUAGGGCUUUAAGUGUGUGAGCUUUUGCAUUCUGGAUCAGUUGGAGGUUCUACAGGUGUUACAGAGUAGGGUACUACAGUAGAAAAGCAGGCAUGGAUAUAGCCAUGGCAACCAGGCAUGUAUAGAGCCAUGGCAACCAGGCAAGUCUCUGUAGUAGAAUAUGAUGAUCUAUAGCAGGGGUGGCUAACCAGUCCAGCUCAAAGAACCACAACAAAACCCAACACCAUUUCGAAGAGCCACACUGUUACCAGACCAUCAAUGGCAUGGAAUAGUUCAACAUAACACAAGGGGCGAAUCUAGGUUCCCACUUUUUGGGGGGUGGCGGGCUAAGCCUCUAGAUAAAACCUAUUAUUUUUCCUGUGACCCAGCAAGACUAGGGGGGUCUGGGGGCAUGCUCCCCCGUAAGACAUUUUUGAAAAUAACCUUUUAAAUAGUGUCCUCUAGUGGGUUUUAGGAAGAGAGAUCAAAUUUAGAUUUAAAAUAUGGCACAACAAUAAACAUAUUGAAGACAUCUGCUGAGAUAGGUGCUAAUUAUACUGUAGCAUGGUAGCGAUUUGCAGCUCGAGUGAAUAGGUUAACGUUGUAGGCUAGAGUUCACUAGCUAGUUAUAGCUGGCAAAGCUACUGAGUAGGGUAGCAUACCCACAGGAUCAAUGAACCGGCAUGAUAAAAGAGAGCCACGACAUCUAUAAUUAACUCGAGAUGAUUUAACCAUUUAGUUUCUUUUACUAUUUUAAACUUCAUGUGCUAUACCUUUAUAUCCGGCAGCUGAUUAUGGCAGCUUUCACCAGCUUGGAUCGGACAGUCGCUCCAAGUCUGUUUAAUAGACGUUAUCACCGUCUGUCUGCACGCUCGUG